rnacentral:lncRNA from 1 species
AAAAAAUAAUGAGAAAAAUAAAAUAAAAAUAAUAAUAAAUAAACGUGAAUUAUUGUAAUGUAUACAUUGUGAAAUGCUUGGGUUCCUAUUGAGUGAUGAAGCAUUUUGUAUUUGUAAUUUACAAUGACGACUUUGAGAGGAGAUGUUCACAUUAGUGAUAGAGUGUGAACGGCAAGCUACACCAAAUAUCCAAAUAUGUGAUACCGACC